rnacentral:rRNA from 1 species
CAACUCUUAGCGGUGGAUCACUUGGCUCGUGCGUCGAUGAAGAACGCAGCUAGCUGCGAGAAUUAAUGUGAUUUGCAGGACACAUUGAUCAU